rnacentral:rRNA from 1 species
GUACACUCCUGCGGGAGGCAGCAGUGGGGAAUUUUGGACAAUGGGCGAAAGCCUGAUCCAGCAAUGCCGCGUGAGUGAAGAAGGCCUUCGGGUUGUAAAGCUCUUUUGUCAGGGAAGCAACGGUGAAAGCUAAUAUCUUUUGCUAAUGACGGUACCUGCAGAAUAAGCACCGGCUAACUACGUGCCAGCAGCCGCGGUAAUACGUAGGGUGCAAGCGUUAAUCGGAAUUACUGGGCGUAAAGCGUGCGCAGGCGGUUUUGUAAGUCUGAUGUGAAAUCCCCGGGCUCAACCUGGGAAUUGCAUUGGAGACUGCAAGGCUAGAAUCUGGCAGAGGGGGGUAGAAUUCCACGUGUAGCAGUGAAAUGCGUAGAUAUGUGGAGGAACACCGAUGGCGAAGGCAGCCCCCUGGGUCAAGAUUGACGCUCAUGCACGAAAGCGUGGGGAGCAAACAGGAUUAGAUACCCGUGUAGUCCC